rnacentral:rRNA from 1 species
UACAGAGGUGGCAAGCGUUGUUCGGAAUUACUGGGCGUAAAGGGCGCGUAGGCGGCCAUCUAAGUCAGACGUGAAAUCCCCCGGCUUAACCUGGGAACUGCGUCUGAUACUGGGAGGCUUGAGUAUGGGAGAGGGAUGUAGAAUUCCAGGUGUAGCGGUGAAAUGCGUAGAUAUCUGGAGGAACACCGGUGGCGAAGGCGGCAUCCUGGACCGAUAUUGACGCUGAGGCGCGAAAGCCAGGGGAGCAAAGCGGG